AAAUUGAAGAGUUUGAUCAUGGCUCAGAUUGAACGCUGGCGGCAGGCCUAACACAUGCAAGUCGAACGGUAACAGGAAGCAGCUUGCUGCUUUGCUGACGAGUGGCGGACGGGUGAGUAAUGUCUGGGAAACUGCCUGAUGGAGGGGGAUAACUACUGGAAACGGUAGCUAAUACCGCAUAACGUCGCAAGACCAAAGAGGGGGACCUUCGGGCCUCUUGCCAUCGGAUGUGCCCAGAUGGGAUUAGCUAGUAGGUGGGGUAAAGGCUUACCUAGGCGACGAUCCCUAGCUGGUCUGAGAGGAUGACCAGCCACACUGGAACUGAGACACGGUCCAGACUCCUACGGGAGGCAGCAGUGGGGAAUAUUGCACAAUGGGCGCAAGCCUGAUGCAGCCAUGCCGCGUGUAUGAAGAAGGCCUUCGGGUUGUAAAGUACUUUCAGCGGGGAGGAAGGGAGUAAAGUUAAUACCUUUGCUCAUUGACGUUACCCGCAGAAGAAGCACCGGCUAACUCCGUGCCAGCAGCCGCGGUAAUACGGAGGGUGCAAGCGUUAAUCGGAAUUACUGGGCGUAAAGCGCACGCAGGCGGUUUGUUAAGUCAGAUGUGAAAUCCCCGGGCUCAACCUGGGAACUGCAUCUGAUACUGGCAAGCUUGAGUCUCGUAGAGGGGGGUAGAAUUCAAGGUGUAGCGGUGAAAUGCGUAGAGAUCUGGAGGAAUACCGGUGGCGAAGGCGGCCCCCUGGACGAAGACUGACGCUCAGGUGCGAAAGCGUGGGGAGCAAACAGGAUUAGAUACCUGGUAGUCCACGCCGUAAACGAUGUCGACUUGGAGGUUGUGCCCUUGAGGCGUGGCUUCCGGAGCUAACGCGUUAAGUCGACCGCCUGGGGAGUACGGCCGCAAGGUUAAAACUCAAAUGAAUUGACGGGGGCCCGCACAAGCGGUGGAGCAUGUGGUUUAAUUCGAUGCAACGCGAAGAACCUUACCUGGUCUUGACAUCCACGGAAGUUUUCAGAGAUGAGAAUGUGCCUUCGGGAACCGUGAGACAGGUGCUGCAUGGCUGUCGUCAGCUCGUGUUGUGAAAUGUUGGGUUAAGUCCCGCAACGAGCGCAACCCUUAUCCUUUGUUGCCAGCGGUCCGGCCGGGAACUCAAAGGAGACUGCCAGUGAUAAACUGGAGGAAGGUGGGGAUGACGUCAAGUCAUCAUGGCCCUUACGACCAGGGCUACACACGUGCUACAAUGGCGCAUACAAAGAGAAGCGACCUCGCGAGAGCAAGCGGACCUCAUAAAGUGCGUCGUAGUCCGGAUUGGAGUCUGCAACUCGACUCCAUGAAGUCGGAAUCGCUAGUAAUCGUGGAUCAGAAUGCCACGGUGAAUACGUUCCCGGGCCUUGUACACACCGCCCGUCACACCAUGGGAGUGGGUUGCAAAAGAAGUAGGUAGCUUAACCUUCGGGAGGGCGCUUACCACUUUGUGAUUCAUGACUGGGGUGAAGUCGUAACAAGGUAACCGUAGGGGAACCUGCGGUUGGAUCACCUCCUUACCUUAAAGAAGC
rnacentral:rRNA from 1 species